AUUGAACGCUGGCGGCAGGCCUAACACAUGCAAGUCGAGCGGAUGAAGGGAGCUUGCUCCUGGAUUCAGCGGCGGACGGGUGAGUAAUGCCUAGGAAUCUGCCUGGUAGUGGGGGAUAACGUCCGGAAACGGGCGCUAAUACCGCAUACGUCCUGAGGGAGAAAGUGGGGGAUCUUCGGACCUCACGCUAUCAGAUGAGCCUAGGUCGGAUUAGCUAGUUGGUGGGGUAAAGGCCUACCAAGGCGACGUUCCGUAACUGGUCUAAGAGGAUGAUCAGUCACACUGGAACUGAGACACGGUCCAGACUCCUACGGGAGGCAGCAGUGGGGAAUAUUGGACAAUGGGCGAAAGCCUGAUCCAGCCAUGCCGCGUGUGUGAAGAAGGUCUUCGGAUUGUAAAGCACUUUAAGUUGGGAGGAAGGGCAGUAAGUUAAUACCUUGCUGUUUUGACGUUACCAACAGAAUAAGCACCGGCUAACUUCGUG
rnacentral:rRNA from 1 species